rnacentral:rRNA from 1 species
UGAGAUCAGCGGCGGACGGGUGAGUAACACGUGGGUAACCUGCCUGUAAGACUGGGAUAACUCCGGGAAACCGGGGCUAAUACCGGAUAACUCAGUUCCUCGCAUGAGGAACUGUUGAAAGGUGGCUUUUCGCUACCACUUACAGAUGGACCCGCGGCGCAUUACCUAGUUGGUGAGGUAACGGCUCACCAAGGCAACGAUGCGUACCCGACCUGAAAGGGUGAUCGGCCACACUGGGACUGAAACACGGCCCAAACUCCUACGGGAGGCAGCAGUAGGGAAUCUUCCGCAAUGGACGAAAGUCUGACGGAGCAACGCCGCGUGAGUGAAAAAGGUUUUCGGAUCGUAAAACUCUGUUGUUAGGGAAAAACAAGUGCCGUUCGAAUAGGGCGGCACCUUGACGGUACCUAACCAAAAAGCCACGGCUAA